UACGAAGGGGGCUAGCGUUGCUCGGAAUCACUGGGCGUAAAGAGCGUGUAGGCGGUCCGGUAAGUCAGCUGUGAAAGUCAAGGGCUCAACCCUUGAAUGCCGGUUGAUACUGUCGGGCUAGAGUCCGGAAGAGGCGAGUGGAAUUCCCGGUGUAGCGGUGAAAUGCGCAGAUAUCGGGAGGAACACCAAUGGCGAAGGCAGCUCGCUGGGACGGUACUGACGCUGAGACGCGAAAGCGUGGGGAGCAAACAGG
rnacentral:rRNA from 1 species